CCAUUUAAAGAGUGCGUAAUAGCUCACUAGUCGAGUGAUUCUGCGCCGAAAAUGUACCGGGGCUUAAACAUAUUACCGAGACUGUGGAUGCCACCAUUAGGUGGCGUGAUAGGAGAGCGUUCUAAGGGCGGUGAAGCAAGAUCGUGAGGACUUGUGGAGCGCUUAGAAGUGAGAAUGCCGGUAUGAGUAGCGAAAGAUAGGUGAGAAUCCUAUCCACCGAAUGACUAAGGUUUCCUGGGGAAGGCUCGUCCUCCCAGGGUUAGUCGGGACCUAAGUCGAGGCCGAGAGGCGUAGACGAUGGAUAACAG
rnacentral:rRNA from 1 species